rnacentral:misc_RNA from 1 species
UCUCCGUUGGUGAACCAGCGGAGGGAUCAUUACCGAGUUUACAACUCCCAAACCCAAUGUGGGCCAUACCAAACUGUUGCCUCGGCGGGGUCACCCCCCGGGUGCGUCGCAGCCCCGGAACCAGGCGCCCGCCGGAGGGACCAACCAAACUCUUUCUGUAGUCCCCUCGCGGACGUUAUUUUUACAGCUCUGAGCAAAAAUUCAAAAUGAAUCAAAACUUUCAACAACGGAUCUCUUGGUUCUG